rnacentral:rRNA from 1 species
UACAGAGGGUGCGAGCGUUGUCCGGAAUCACUGGGCGUAAAGGGCGCGUAGGCGGCCUGAUAAGUCGGGGGUGAAAUCCUGUGGCUUAACCACAGGGCUGCCUCCGAGACUGUCGGGCUCGAGCACAGUAGAGGCAGGUGGAAUUCCCGGUGUAGCGGUGGAAUGCGUAGAGAUCGGGAAGAACAUCGGUGGCGAAGGCGGCCUGCUGGGCUGUUGCUGACGCUGAGGCGCGACAGCGUGGGGAGCAAACGGG